rnacentral:lncRNA from 1 species
AUAGCUACUUUUGAUACUACAUAAGCGGACAUAGAAACCGGCCAGCCUUUGGUUUCAAGGGAACCUAGUUUAAAAUCAUUCAAAUACUCCCUCAGCACCUCAUCCACUCUCUCUUCCGUUAGGUUCUCAACAUCGCUUAGCACUCCUUUUGCCCAUUCAUUUGUCACAUACUGAACAAGAAGAUCAGCAACAUCGCUUAGCACUCCUUUUGCCCAUUCAUAAAUCACAGUUUAAUAUUAUAAGGGUUGUCAAAUUAUUUUACCUUUAACUUUCCCCAGGAAGAGGAAACAUUAACAAUUCUUGGUGAAUCUGAUAAUUGGAGGAAGG